rnacentral:sRNA from 1 species
UGCGGAAGGAUCAUUACAGUAGUCGCCCGGGUUGCCGCAAGGCCUCCCGGGUAACCUACCACCCUUUGUUUAUUACACUUUGUUGCUUUGGCAAGCCUGCCCUCGGGCUGCUGGCUCCGGCCGGCGAGCGCUUGCCAGAGGACCUAAACUCUGUUUGUCUAUACUGUCUGAGUACUAUAUAAUAGUUAAAACUUUCAACAACGGAUCUCUUGGUUCUGGCAUCGAUGAAGAACGCAGCGAAAUGCGAUAAGUAAUGUGAAUUGCAGAAUUCAGUGAAUCAUCGAAUCUUUGAACGCACAUUGCGCCCCCUGGUAUUCCGGGGGGCAUGCCUGUCCGAGCGUCAUUACAACCCUCAAGCUCAGCUUGGUGUUGGGCCCCGCCGCCCCGGCGGGCCCUAAAGUCAGUGGCGGUGCCGUCCGGCUCCGAGCGUAGUAAUUCUUCUCGCUCUGGAGGCCCGGUCGUGUGCUCGCCAGCAACCCCCAAUUUUUUUCAGGUUGACCUCGGAUCAGGUAGGGAUACCCGCUGAACUUAAGCAUA